rnacentral:snRNA from 1 species
GGAUGUGAAGGCAAUCUGGCUGCAACAUCUGUCACCCUAUUGAUGGUCUGGAUGGCUAGAUGGAGUGUCUCCUUCCUCCCUCACCCCAACAUGUGCGUCCUUCCUGAAGCAUGCUUGGUUGAAGAGAAUGACCUUCCCAGAAUAGAUGUGUGUGAAUGUGUGUAUGUGUGUGCAUGUAUAUGUGUAUGUGUGUGCAUAUGUCUGUGUGUGUGUAUGUAUGUGUGUCCAUGUAUGUAUGUGUAUGUAUAGUGUGUGUGUAUGUGAGUAUAU